rnacentral:rRNA from 1 species
AUUGAACGCUGGCGGCAGGCCUAACACAUGCAAGUCGAACGGUAACAGGAAGAAGCUUGCUUCUUUGCUGACGAGUGGCGGACGGGUGAGUAAUGUCUGGGAAACUGCCUGAUGGAGGGGGAUAACUACUGGAAACGGUAGCUAAUACAGCAUAAUGUCGCAAGACCAAAGAGGGGGACCUUCGGGCCUCUUGCCAUCGGAUGUGCCCAGAUGGGAUUAGCUAGUAGGUGGGGUAACGGCUCACCUAGGCGACGAUCCCUAGCUGGUCUGAGAGGAUGACCCGCCACACUGGAACUGAGACACGGUCCAGACUCCUACGGGAGGCAGCAGUGGGGAAUAUUGCACAAUGGGCGCAAGCCUGAUGCAGCUAUGCCGCGUGUAUGAAGAAGGCCUUCGGGUUGUAAAGUAAUUUCAGCGGGGAGGAAGGGAGUAAAGUUAAUACCUUUGCUCAUUGACGUUACCCGCAGAAGAAGCACCGGCUAACUCCGUG